rnacentral:rRNA from 1 species
UUCCUACGGGGGGCAGCAGUGGGGAAUAUUGGACAAUGGACCAAGAGUCUGAUCCAGCAAUUCUGUGUGCACGAUGAAGUUUUUCGGAAUGUAAAGUGCUUUCAGUUGGGAAGAAAAAAAUGACGGUACCAACAGAAGAAGUGACGGCUAAAUACGUGCCAGCAGCCGCGGUAAUACGUAUGUCACAAGCGUUAUCCGGAUUUAUUGGGCGUAAAGCGCGUCUAGGUGGUUAUAUAAGUCUGAUGUGAAAAUGCAGGGCUCAACUCUGUAUUGCGUUGGAAACUGUGUAACUAGAGUACUGGAGG